AGAGUUUGAUCCUGGCUCAGGAUGAACGCCGGCGGUGUGCCUAAUACAUGCAAGUCGUACGCACUGGCCCAACUGAUUGAUGGUGCUUGCACCUGAUUGACGUUGGAUCACCAGUGAGUGGCGGACGGGUGAGUAACACGUAGGUAACCUGCCCCGGAGCGGGGGGAUAACAUUUGGAAACAGAUGCUAAUACCGCAUAACAACAAAAGCCACAUGGCUUUUGUUUGAAAGAUGGCUUUGGCUAUCACUCUGGGAUGGACCUGCGGUGCAUUAGCUAGUUGGUAAGGUAACGGCUUACCAAGGCGAUGAUGCAUAGCCGAGUUGAGAGACUGAUCGGCCACAAUGGAACUGAGACACGGUCCAUACUCCUACGGGAGGCAGCAGUAGGGAAUCUUCCACAAUGGGCGCAAGCCUGAUGGAGCAACACCGCGUGAGUGAAGAAGGGUUUCGGCUCGUAAAGCUCUGUUGUUGGAGAAGAACGUGCGUGAGAGUAACUGUUCACGCAGUGACGGUAUCCAACCAGAAAGUCACGGCUAACUACGUGCCAGCAGCCGCGGUAAUACGUAGGUGGCAAGCGUUAUCCGGAUUUAUUGGGCGUAAAGCGAGCGCAGGCGGUUGCUUAGGUCUGAUGUGAAAGCCUUCGGCUUAACCGAAGAAGUGCAUCGGAAACCGGGCGACUUGAGUGCAGAAGAGGACAGUGGAACUCCAUGUGUAGCGGUGGAAUGCGUAGAUAUAUGGAAGAACACCAGUGGCGAAGGCGGCUUACUGGACAGAAACUGACACUGAGGCUCGAAAGCGUGGGGAGCAAACAGGAUUAGAUACCCUGGUAGUCCACGCCGUAAACGA
rnacentral:rRNA from 1 species